AGAGUUUGAUCCUGGCUCAGAAUCAACGCUGGCGGCGUGCCUCAGACAUGCAAGUCGAACGAGAAAGUCCCCUUCGGGGGAUAAGUAAAGUGGCGUCCGGGUGAGUAACACGUAGGUAAUCUACCUUCGGGUGGGGAAUAACCCAGGGAAACUUGGGCUAACACCGCAUAAUGCAGCGGCACCACAUGGUGACAGUUGUUAAAGCGGGGGAUUUUAGGACCUCGCGCCUGAAGAGGAGCCUGCGGCGGAUUAGCUAGUUGGUAGGGUAACGGCUUACCAAGGCGACGAUCCGUAGCCGGCCUGAGAGGGCGGUCGGCCACACUGACACUGACAUACGGGUCAGACUCCUACGGGAGGCAGCAGUCGGGAAUUUUGGGCAAUGGGCGAAAGCCUGACCCAGCAACGCCGCGUGAAGGAUGAAAUCCCUCGGGAUGUAAACUUCGCAAGAAUGGGAAGAAUUAGCGAGCGCUAAUACCGCUCGUGAUGACGGUACCAUUUGUAAGCUCCGGCUAACUCCGUGCCAGCAGCCGCGGUAAUACGGGGGGAGCAAGCGUUGUUCGGAUUUACUGGGCGUAAAGGGCGCGUAGGCGGCCAGCGCAAGUCAGUUGUGAAAUCUCCGGGCUUAACUCGGAAAGGUCAACUGAUACUGCGCGGCUAGAGUGCGGAAGGGGCAACUGGAAUUCUCGGUGUAGCGGUGAAAUGCGUAGAUAUCGAGAGGAACACCUGCGGCGAAGGCGGGUUGCUGGGCCGACACUGACGCUGAUGCGCGAAAGCCAGGGGAGCGAACGGGAUUAGAUACCCCGGUAGUCC
rnacentral:rRNA from 1 species